rnacentral:rRNA from 1 species
UAAAGUUCCAACGGUAACAAGAUGAGCAUGCGUCCCAUUAGCUAGUUGGUGUGGCAACGGCACACCAAGGCAACAAUGGGUAGGGGUCCUGAGAGGGAGAUCCCCCACACUGGUACUGAGACACGGACCAUGACUCCUACGGGAGGCAGCAGUGAGGAAUAUUGGUCAAUGGCGCAGGGUCUGAAACAGCCAUGCCGCGUGCAGGAUGACGGUCCUAUGGAU